rnacentral:ncRNA from 20 species
GGAACCCGGUGCAACUCCGGGACGGUCCCGCCACUGUGAACCCCGCCGAGAGGUGUGGGUGAGUCAGGAAC